GCGGGUGGUAGUCCUUGGAGAUGAUUCAAAACCACGAAAAAGUUCACCAAGGAAGGUUUUCACCAGUGGGGAAAGCAAACCUUAUUUUAAUCACUAUGAUAAUGGGGGUGGUUGGUGGGACGAGAAUAUGGCAGGCGUUGACAACGAAGAAGUCGGCUGCAAUGAUGUUUGGGAAGGAGUAGGCUGCACCACACUCGGGGGCAUUGAAUGGAAUUAGCAGCUGACGGUAAGACUCCUCGCUUUUGCACCUCGACUUUCUGUAUGAGUAGUACUAGUUGUUGUAUUAGUAGCAGUAGCAGUUAUAGCAUAUUUUAGACAUGUUUUGAGAAACUAUGCUCUUAAACUGAGUUGCAGAUUUUGUAUGGAAAUGGUUUACUCUGGUU